UGGCGAGACAUAGUGAAACUCAUUGACUUAUACAAGGGGAUAGCUUCUGCUAGAGUUUCGGAUGGUAGUACAGUUUUGUUCUGGAAGGAUACUUGGAACAAUCAUCUCCUAUCCCGUGAUCUUCCACAGCUAGCUUCCUUUGCAAAAGAUGAAAGAAUCACACUCAAGGAGGUUUUACAAGGCCAUUUGCUCAAUACAGCGCAUCUUCCUUUGUCAGCAGAGGCACAUGGCCAGUUUGCACAAUUACAAGAAAUCUUACAACAGAUAGACAAUCCACAGCCUCAAGACCUAUGGGUUUACAACUGGGGUAAUCCUAUCUUCUCAGCUUCCAAGACAUACAAAACCCUCAUCGGAGAAAGAGGAGCUCACCCGAUUCACAGUUGGCUAUGGAGAUCAAAAUGUCAAAACAAGCACAAAGUUUUCUUUUGGCUACUUAUCCAAGACAAAGUUAAUACCAAAGAUGUCCUCAGCAGGAGGUCCAUGGUUUUGGAAUCCACAACUUGUGAAAUGUGCAUCCUACAAAAACGUGAGACAACAACACAUCUCUUCCUGCGAUGCAAUUUUGCCAAGGCCUGUUGGCGCUCGGUUGGCAUCACUUUCCCCUCCACCAGAUCGGCCACCUCCAUCUUCAAUAGUAUUCGAAGACAGCUGCUUUUGCCUUUCUCUAUGGAAAUCAUAAUUCUCAUGACUUGGAGUAUUUGGACAACCAGAAAUGAUUGGACUUUCAAUAAUGUGGCUCCGACGAUCAGGGACGUCACAAGGAAAUUUGUUUCAGAAUUUCGUCUGGUAGCUCUUCAUAGGGCUAGGACCCAUUUGCAGCUCCUGAUGUUAGACUGGGUAGACGCUUUGUAACUUGCUGGUUGAACUCCUUUUUCUCCCUCUCCUUUCU
rnacentral:lncRNA from 1 species